UACGAAGGGGACUAGCGUUGUUCGGAAUUACUGGGCGUAAAGCGCACGUAGGCGGAUUUGUUAGUCAGGGGUGAAAUCCCGGGGCUCAACCUCGGAACUGCCUUUGAUACUGCAAGUCUCGAGUCCGAUAGAGGAGAGUGGAAUUCCUGGUGUAGCGGUGAAAUGCGUAGAGAUCAGGAGGAACACCCGUGGCGAAGGCGGCUCUCUGGGUCCGCCCUGACGCUGAGGCGCGAAAGCGUGGGGAGCGAACGGG
rnacentral:rRNA from 1 species